CCUACGGGAGGCAGCAGUGGGGAAUUUUGGACAAUGGGCGCAAGCCUGAUCCAGCAAUGCCGCGUGAGUGAAGAAGGCCUUCGGGUUGUAAAGCUCUUUUGUCAGGGAAGAAACGGUGAGCUCUAAUACAGUUUGCUAAUGACGGUACCUGAAGAAUAAGCACCGGCUAACUACGUGCCAGCAGCCGCGGUAAUACGUAGGGUGCAAGCGUUAAUCGGAAUUACUGGGCGUAAAGCGUGCGCAGGCGGUUUUGUAAGUCUGUCGUGAAAUCCCCGGGCUCAACCUGGGAAUGGCGAUGGAGACUGCAAGGCUAGAGUUUGGCAGAGGGGGGUAGAAUUCCACGUGUAGCAGUGAAAUGCGUAGAUAUGUGGAGGAACACCGAUGGCGAAGGCAGCCCCCUGGGUCAAACUGACGCUCAUGCACGAAAGCGUGGGGAGCAAACAGGAUUAGGAUACCCUGGUAGUCCACGCCCUAAACGAUGUCUACUAGUUGUCGGGUUCUUAAUUGACUUGGUAACGCAGCGUACGACGUGAGUAGACCGCCGUCGGGAGGUAACGGUCGUCGAGAGUUAAACGUUAACGUUAAGUAGAGUUAGACGGCGNGAGACGNGCCGACGGACGACGACGAGGGAGGAGG
rnacentral:rRNA from 1 species